rnacentral:rRNA from 1 species
AUUCCAGCUCCAAGAGCGUAUAUUAAAGUUGUUGCAGUUAAAAAGCUCGUAGUUGGAUUUCUGGUCUAAUGCGCCUGGCCCGCUGCCGUUAGGUAUGUGAGUGCCGGUGCGCGUUUACCAUCCUUCCAGAGAACACUUCUACCAUUUAUUUGGACGGAUGUUGUCUUCUGGAUCUUUUACUUUGAAAAAAUUAGAGUGUUUAAAGCAGGCCUUUGCUGUGAAUACAUUAGCAUGGAAUAAUAAUCUAGGACUUCGGUUCUAUUUUGUUGGUUUCUAGUACUGAAGUAAUGAUUGAUAGGGAUAGUUGGGGGUAUUCAUAUUUAAUUGUCAGAGGUGAAAUUCUUGGAUUUAUGAAAGAUGAACUCAUGCGAAAGCAUUACCAAGGAUGUUUUCAUUA